UAGGUGAACCUGCGGAGGGAUCAUUACACAAAUAUGAAGGCGGGCUGGAACCUCUCGGGGUUACAGCCUUGCUGAAUUAUUCACCCUUGUCUUUUGCGUACUUCUUGUUUCCUUGGUGGGUUCGCCCACCACUAGGACAAACAUAAACCUUUUGUAAUUGCAAUCAGCGUCAGUAACAAAUUAAUAAUUACAACUUUCAACAACGGAUCUCUUGGUUCUGGCAUCGAUGAAGAACGCAGCGAAAUGCGAUAAGUAGUGUGAAUUGCAGAAUUCAGUGAAUCAUCGAAUCUUUGAACGCACAUUGCGCCCUUUGGUAUUCCAAAGGGCAUGCCUGUUCGAGCGUCAUUUGUACCCUCAAGCUUUGCUUGGUGUUGGGCGUCUUGUCUCUAGCUUUGCUGGAGACUCGCCUUAAAGUAAUUGGCAGCCGGCCUACUGGUUUCGGAGCGCAGCACAAGUCGCACUCUCUAUCAGCAAAGGUCUAGCAUCCAUUAAGCCUUUUUUUCAACUUUUGACCUCGGAUCAGGUAGGGAUACCCGCUGAACUUAAGCAUAUCAAUAAGCGGAGGAAAAGAAACCAAC
rnacentral:rRNA from 1 species